rnacentral:rRNA from 1 species
GACAGAGGCCCCAAGCGUUAGGCGGAAUCACUGGGCUUAAAGCGUGUGUAGGCGGACGCCUAAGUGUCUUGUGAAAUCCCACGGCUCACCCGUGGAACUGCUGGGCAUACUGGGCGUCUUGGGCCAACUAGGGGCAGCCGGAACAAGCGGUGGAGCGGUGAAAUGCGUAGAUAUCGUGAGGAAGACCAGUUGCGAAGGCGACUCUCUGGGCAACUCCUGACACUGAGGCACGAAGGCUAGGGGAGCAAACGGG